rnacentral:lncRNA from 1 species
CAGAUAAUAGUGACAAAAUGACACCAGAACUCAGGAUUGAAACCUUUCUUCCACCUUCUCUUCCACACUGGUUUGAACUGAGCUCCAAGGGUUCCUCUAUUGGACACUCCUUUUUUGUUUCCUAGGCCAGUGGUCUUGGACAAUGAGCUUGGGCAGUGUUCCAAAGUUGAACUCUUCUGUGACAGUGCUGCUGCCACCUCAGGUAACCGGAAUGGAAGAAGAAGGAAAGCAAUUCCAUCUUCAGUGACCUGAGUAAAGCCGUCUUCCUUAGCCACAUGUGGAGAAUUGUUCUCAUUAUGACGAUUUGAAUGUCAUAAAUCUUUGUGCUUCGACAGUGACAUAGAGUAAAGCCUCAUUAAUUAAGGCCUCACUGAUUCAGAAUUUAAGAUAAUUUGUUCAUAGGCCAAGCUGAAAUUUACAUUUGCACUAUCUAUGAAAAAAGGGUUCAUUAAGUAAAUCAAUAAAGUAAGGAAGAUUGCAGGAAGCCUG